CCCCUAGUAACUGCGAGUGAAGCGGGAAAAGCUCAAAUUUAAAAUCUGGCGGUUUUGUCGCCCGAGUUGUAAUCUGGAGAAGCGUUUUCCGUGCCGGACCGUGUACAAGUCUCUUGGAACAGAGCGUCAUAGAGGGUGAGAAUCCCGUCCAUGACACGGACUCCCGGUGCUUUGUGAUACGCUCUCGAAGAGUCGAGUUGUUUGGGAAUGCAGCUCAAAAUGGGUGGUAAGCUCCAUCUAAAGCUAAAUAUUGGCGAGAGACCGAUAGCGAACAAGUACCGUGAGGGAAAGAUGAAAAGCACUUUGGAAAGAGAGUUAAACAGUACGUGAAAUUGUUGAAAGGGAAACGCUUGAAGUCAGUCGCGUCUUACUUGACUCAGCCUUGCUUCGGCUUGGUGUAUUUCAAGUAGGAUGGGUCAACAUCGAUUUUGACCGGUGGACAAGGGGUNAAGGAAUGUGGCACUCUUCGGAGUGUGUUAUAGCCUUUUCUCAUAUACAUCGGUUGGGAUUGAGGCCCGCAGCGCGCCCUUGUGGCCGGAGGUUCGCCUCACGUAACGCGCUUAGGAUGUUGGCAUAAUGGCUUUAAGCGACCCGUCUUGAAACACGGACCAAGGAGUCUAACAUGCUCGCGAGUGUUAGGGUGGAAAACCCUUGCGCGUAAUGAAAGUGAAAGUUGAGACCCUCCGCAAGGGGGUGCAUCGACGCCCGGCCCUGAAGUUUACUGACGGUGCUGCGGUAGAGCGCGUAUGUUGGGACCCGAAAGAUGGUGAACUAUGCCUGAAUAGGGCGAAGCCAGAGGAAACUCUGGUGGAGGCUCGUAGCGAUUCUGACGUGCAAAUCGAUCGUCAAAUUUGGG
rnacentral:rRNA from 1 species